GAUGAACGCUAGCGGCAGGCUUAAUACAUGCAAGUCGAGGGGCAGCACGGUUAGCAAUAACUGGUGGCGACCGGCGCACGGGUGCGUAACACGUAUACAAUCUACCUUAAACAGGGGGAUAGCCUUUCGAAAGAGAGAUUAAUACCCCGUAAUAAAUUGAACGGCAUCGUUUGAUUUUGAAAGCUCCGGCGGUUUGAGAUGAGUAUGCGUCUGAUUAGCUAGUUGGUGAGGUAACGGCUCACCAAGGCGACGAUCAGUAGGGGAUCUGAGAGGACUAACCCCCCACACUGGUACUGAGACACGGACCAGACUCCUACGGGAGGCAGCAGUAAGGAAUAUUGGUCAAUGGAGGCAACUCUGAACCAGCCAUGCCGCGUGCAGGAAGAAGGCCUUCUGGGUUGUAAACUGCUUUUAUCUGGGGAUAAAAAGGCCUUGCGAGGCAAACUGAAGGUACCAGAUGAAUAAGCCACGGCUAACUACGUGCCAGCAGCCGCGGUAAU
rnacentral:rRNA from 1 species